rnacentral:tRNA from 1 species
GGGGAUUUGGCUCAGUGGUAGAGCGCUUGCCUAGCAAGCGCAAGGCCCUGGGUUCAGUUCCCAGCUCCA